rnacentral:piRNA from 1 species
UACUAAGCGGGAGUAUGACCAGUGUC